CCUACGGGCGGCAGCAGUGGGGAAUAUUGCACAAUGGGGGAAACCCUGAUGCAGCGACGCCGCGUGAGUGAAGAAGUAAUUCGUUAUGUAAAGCUCUAUCAGCAGGGAAGAAAAUGACGGUACCUGAGUAAGAAGCCCCGGCUAACUACGUGCCAGCAGCCGCGGGAAUACGUAGGGGGCAAGCGUUAUCCGGAUUUACUGGGUGUAAAGGGAGCGUAGACGGCAGUGCAAGUCUGGAGUGAAAGGCGGGGGCUCAACCCCCGGACUGCUUUGGAAACUGUACGGCUGGAGUGCAGGAGAGGGAAGUGGAAUUGCUAGUGUAGCGGUGAAAGUCGUAGAUAUUAGGAGGAACACCAGUGGCGAAGGCGGCUUACUGGACUGUAACUGACGUUGAGGCUCGAAAGCGGGGGGAGCAAACAGGAUUAGAUACCCCAGUAGUC
rnacentral:rRNA from 1 species